rnacentral:rRNA from 1 species
GGUUAGUGGCGAACGGGUGAGUAACACGUGAGCAACCUGCCCUCGACUCUGGGAUAACUCCGGGAAACCGGGGCUAAUACCGGAUAUGACUGCCUGUCGCAUGGUGGGUGGUGGAAAGUUUUUCGGUCGGGGAUGGGCUCGCGGCCUAUCAGCUUGUUGGUGGGGUGAUGGCCUACCAAGGCGACGACGGGUAGCCGGCCUGAGAGGGUGACCGGCCACACUGGGACUGAGACACGGCCCAG